UUAAACAGAUGGGAAUACCAAUGUAUAUCUUAAUGUGAACCAGGUCAAGUGGGGGAUGUAUAUCGUAAUGUGAACCAGGUCAAGUGGGGGAUGUAUAUCUUAAUGUGAACCAGGUCAAGUGGGGGAUGUAUAUCUUAAUGUGAACCAGGUCAAGUGGGGAUGUAUAUCUUAAUGUGAACCAGGUCAAGUGGGGGAUGUAUAUCUUAAUGUGAAUCAGGUCAAGUGGGGGAUGUAUAUCUU